rnacentral:rRNA from 1 species
AGAGUUUGAUCCUGGCUCAGAUUGAACGCUGGCGGAAUGCUUUACACAUGCAAGUCGAGCGGCAGCGCGGGGGCAACCCUGGCGGCGAGCGGCGAACGGGUGAGUAAUGUAUCGGAACGUACCCAGUCGUGGGGGAUAACUAUCCGAAAGGAUAGCUAAUACCGCAUACGUCCUGAGGGAGAAAGCGGGGGACCGUAAGGCCUCGCGCGAUUGGAGCGGCCGAUAUCGGAUUAGCUAGUUGGUGAGGUAAAGGCUCACCAAGGCGACGAUCCGUAGCUGGUCUGAGAGGACGACCAGCCACACUGGAACUGAGACACGGUCCAGACUCCUACGGGAGGCAGCAGUGGGGAAUUUUGGACAAUGGGGGCAACCCUGAUCCAGCCAUUCCGCGUGAGUGAAGAAGGCCUUCGGGUUGUAAAGCUCUUUCGGCAGGAACGAAA